CUGGGUGAUAUUGAUUUCCAGGUAUCAAAUAGUAUCUUUAAGAAUGUCAGUGAUCUUCAAUAAUUUCUUUCACACAGGAAAAGAAGUUCACCGUCCCCUACUCCUUCUGUGAGGAAUGAUGCCAGUGCCAUUGCAGAGCAUAAAGGAAGUUCUUCUGACCUACAUGAGAAAAAUGCGGAAAGUGAUGAAAUUAAUACUGAAAUAAAAACAGAAGAAACAACUAGCUGCAAGGACACCCAAAAUCCAAAGGUGAAUGAACAGCUGUUGAAGGCUAGAGCAGGACUAUCACCUCUACUGGCUUCUGCUCAUGAAAGCAGCUGUAUCCGCCUAUG
rnacentral:lncRNA from 1 species